UACAACAAAGAUUCGACAGGAGCUACCACGUCGCAUUAUCCAAUCAUCAUUGUUAGGAUGGCUGCUAACAACAUCGGUGAGUACUCUAUUUUAUAAGUAGAGCAUGUACAGACAUGUUUUGGACUAUCUUAAUUUCAAUGUUUUUUUUUUUGUUUUUGUUUUUUGUUUUUUAAUAUCAUAGAUGUGAAUGAAGAGGUUCUUUAUUUCGACGAAGGACUAGAUCUUAUUCUGGAUGAAAUAAUUGAUGAUGCAUUUCUUAGGGGUGCUGCGGUUCAUGAUGUCUUGCAAGAAGAAGUAGUGUCGAUUGAAUUCCCCGCCGGCGACUAUGAACAGCCAAUCUCCAUCACAGGCCCUGAAAACAACGCCUCCAACAUACCUCCACCUCCUCCCCCCGAAAAAACAGUUGGCGAGAAGCGUUGUGACUCUAUCCCGACGCAUUCGCAACAGGGCACCGGCGUGAUUGCGUCUACCAGGCCUGUGUCAGGGCGUGGAGAAAAGCGACUCCGAGAGGUGUACAGAGAACAAGCAGUACCUUUACUUACGCAAUAUAACGGAGAUGGUGACGACGCCAUCCCGUCCACAUCAGGAUGUGGGAGGAAGAGGCUUAGAGAGGUCUACGGAAGCGACCGUCCUCUGCCAAAAGAAGG